rnacentral:rRNA from 1 species
CCUACGGGCGGCAGCAGUGGGGAAUCUUCCGCAAUGGGCGAAAGCCUGACGGAGCAACGCCGCGUGUACGAAGAAGGCCUUCGGGUUGUAAAGUACUGUUUUCAGGGACGAACGGUAUAUGUGUGAAUAAUGCAUAUACAUGACGGUACCUGAGGAGGAAGCCCCGGCUAACUACGUGCCAGCAGCCGCGGUAAUACGUAGGGGGCGAGCGUUGUCCGGAAUCAUUGGGCGUAAAGGGCGCGUAGGCGGAUAUUUAAGUCUGGUGGGAAAGACCGGGGCUCAGCCCCGGGGCGGCACCGGAAACUGGAUAUCUUGAGGACAGGAGAGGAAAGCGGAAUUCCACGUGUAGCGGUGAAAUGCGUAGAUAUGUGGAGGAACACCAGUGGCGAAGGCGGCUUUCUGGACUGUAACAGACGCUGAGGCGCGAAAGCGUGGGAAGCAAACAGGAUUAGAUCCCCUGGUAGU